rnacentral:piRNA from 1 species
UGAUUCCUUCAUUUGUAAUAC